rnacentral:piRNA from 1 species
UGUUGAAAUGGGGACAGGCGUGUUUAUGU